rnacentral:rRNA from 1 species
AAAAAAUGUAAUUUAUUAAACCUAAUUAUUAUUAGCUAUGUUCUAUAAAUUUAAAUAAUAUGGCGGUAUUUUAGUCUAUUCAGAGGAACCUGUUCAGUAAUUGAUAAUCCACGAUUAAUUAAACUUUUAUUAGAAAUUUAUAUAUCGUCGUUAAAAGUAUAUUUUUAAAUUUAAAAUAUUUAAAAAUUUUUAUUAGAAAAAAAUUCAGAUCAAGGUGUAGUUUAUAUAAAAGAUGAAAUGGGUUACAAUAAAAAGAUUUUAUGGAUUAAAAAUUUAAAAUUUUUAUUAAACUGGAUUUGAAAGUAAUUUUAAAAAUAUAUUUAAAAUGAUUUAGCUCUAAAAUAUGU